rnacentral:rRNA from 1 species
UACCCGCAGCACAAGUGGUGGUCAUUAUUAUUGGGCCUAAAGCGUCCGUAGCUGGCUUGUUAGAUGCCUGGGUAAAUCGAUGCGCUUAACGCAUCGAAUUCCGGGUAGACCGGCAAGCUCGAGACCGGGAGAGGUGUAGGCUACUCGAGGGGUAGGGGUAAAAUCCUGUAAUCCUUCGGGGAGGACCAGUGGCGAAGGCGCUACACUAGAACGGCUCUGACAGUGAGGGACGAAGCCCUGGGGCGCAAACAAGG